rnacentral:misc_RNA from 1 species
CCGUCUCCGCCGUGCAAUUUAAUAACACAAUCGUAAAUGAAGUAACCCGCCCUAAGGCGCUAUAGACUAUCGGUGGACAGUCCCAAUAAUGGAUACAAAACGAUGUUGAUCGAGUGCCUCUGUGAAUCAGUGAUUUAAUGUGUGAAAUUGGGUGAUUGUGACGAGUUCAUUUAGGCAAAAUGACGGAAUUCUUUGGCUCUUGGAGCAAUAAAGAUGACGAAGGCGAAGAAGUUGAGGAAACAGUGGAGACUGUGGAAACAGUCACCACAACUAGGACCACAAGGAAGCAAUCGCACGUGCCGUCUAAGUCGUCAAGUACGAAGACGACAACAAUGACGACACCGGCCAAACUAUACGGAAGAGAAUUGUCGACAUACGAUGAAAUCGAUGUUGAUGAGUUACUGGCCAAACUGUCGCAGGAAGAGCUGACUAUGCUCGCCAAGGAAGUGGAUCCAGACGACACCUUUUUACCGCCCUCACAAAGGACAAAUUAUGCUUGUGAAAAAGAUCCCACUGGCCCAUUGAACCGUAAGAAGUUAAUUGAACACAUAAACAAACAAGCCCUUGAGACACCUGACCGUCCAGAGGUGAAGCCCUAUGUCGCUGGUGUCAUUAGAGGGAAGAAGUGGAUCCCACCACCACCACCAGAGAAGAUUCGCGAUGCCGAUGAACAAAUAACAAUUGAUCUCGGUGAUGAAUAUGAACAAGCCCUUAGUAGCGCCUCGCAAGAGGAAAUUAUCGACCUUGCCGCUAUUCUUGGUUUCCAUUCUAUGAUGAAUCAGGACCAGUAUCACGCCUCAUUACUGAACAAGGGACAACCUGUUGGUCUUGGGUGGGAUGGUAUCACUAAAGCUACUAAACCUAAGGUAUAUCCAAUGGACCCGCCAAAUGACGCUGAUCCUGACGACACCAUCAAAAGGGUUCAAGAGAAUGACCAGAAAUUCACAGAUCUCAAUUGGAAUAAUAUUAAGAACAUAAGCGACGAGAAAUUCGAGAAGCUCUUCGAAGGGCUCAAGACGAACACUCACCUCGAAGUCCUGUCUCUGGUGAAUGUCGGUCUCAACGAUCGCACCGCUCAGUUGCUGGCCGAUGCUCUCGAGAUGAACUCCACCCUCCGAGUGGUGAACGUGGAGACGAACUUCAUCAGCCCCGCUGGUGUGGUGCAGCUGGUGAAAGCUCUGCUCACUACUACUACGGUGGAGGAGUUUAGGGCUUCUAACCAGCGGUCGCAAGUGCUCGGCAACAAGAUCGAAAUGGAGAUCACAAAGCUGGUGGAGGCCAACCCGACGCUGCUGCGGCUCGGGCUGCACCUGGAGUACAGCGACGCGCGCCACCGCGUCGCCAGCCACCUGCAGAGGAACAUCGACAGAAUACGGAAAGACCUAACGCUCCGACUCCAGUUCAGGUUCUUUAACAACCUGCAAAAGGGGGCGCGUAGCCAAUAGAACUCUGUUAAGUACGCCAGCAGCGACGGAGCCAAAAUAGCGCUUAGAUGACGCAUCGUAACUUGUGGUGGGAGGGUUCUGCGCUUGACUCGAUUCACUCGCAGCCGCAGCUACGUAGUGGGUUGGAUCCCGUGAAUCCAUAGAUUUUCAUACCG